GACGAACGCUGGCGGCGUGCUUAACACAUGCAAGUCGAGCGGUAAGGCUCCUUCGGGAGUACACGAGCGGCGAACGGGUGAGUAACACGUGAGUAAUCUGCCCUUCACUUCGGGAUAACCACCGGAAACGGUGGCUAAUACCGAAUACGACCAGUCUUCGCAUGAGGUGCUGGUGGAAAGUCUUUUCGGUGAAGGAUGUGCUCGCGGCCUAUCAGCUUGUUGGUGGGGUAAUGGCCUACCAAGGCUUCGACGGGUAGCCGGCCUGAGAGGGUGACCGGCCACACUGGGACUGAGACACGGCCCAGACUCCUACGGGAGGCAGCAGUGGGGAGUAUUGGACAAUGGGCGAAAGCCUGAUCCAGCAAUGCCGCGUGAGGGAUGACGGCCUUCGGGUUGUAAACCUCUUUCAGUACCGACGAAGCGCCCUGUCGGGUGGUGACGGUAGGUACAGAAGAAGGACCGGCCAACUACGUG
rnacentral:rRNA from 1 species